GGCCGAGGCUGGAAAGAUGUCCCCUCCAUCAGAAUGGGCCGGAGUUCCGGGAACCAGGCUGCAGCCACAUCUGUGAGCCUUCAGCUCGGCUCAGGCUCAACGUGUCUCUGGGUGAAGAGACUUCUCAGAUUUCAGGAGUCCUGCAAGGCUUUGGAAUGCUUGCCACUGAGGAAUUUGAACAUUAAAGGGUUCAAAGGUGGUUAGAAAAUCCAGUCCUCAAAUUGUUGAAAGAAAAACAUGUCUUCUUGGUCUUACUUUUACGACUUGAACAUGAGGAUCAGCGGUACUAAGGAUUCAGGGGUGUCUCAACCUUUACCUACCUAGCAAGCUCUUUCUUCUAAGAAAGUCAGUAUUCUGCUGUAUUCUCUUAAUUUUUACAAGCUGGGGAAGGAGGACGAGUAGUUAUUUUAUCUGGACACACAGAGCUGUUUUAGUGAUAUUCAUAAUGGAACAUUGUAAAUCUGAAGAGUCAAGGUUCAAAUAUGGGUCUCUUAGCAUUUGACAUAUUUUUAUUUUGGGUCCAGACGAAGCACAUUUUUAAUAGGCAGGACAACACUUCCUGCCUUCAAUCAGAGAUAAUACCAGACUGAGAUGAUAUUCAGAGACAGCAAGUUGCAUUUCAACUGAAGAUAAAUAUGUCCCCAUGAAAUUUCACCCAUUCUGGCUUUAAAACAUGUCAUGUCCAAGGUCAAUUAAUUGUACUUGCAACUUACAGCCAAUCAGAAGGAUGAGCUAGCAUCAAGAUUCUUUUGCAAAAUGAAAAUUUAUCUUUAAUCAGUGUUUUCUUUUUCUUUUCUGGGCUGUUUCUCACUUGCAAAAAAAGUAUAUGCAUUAUUCAAAAAUUAGAAAAAACGAAGAAUGGAUUAGCAGUGGGACAUGACAAUGUACCAAGACAUUUAAAAUAAGUUAUUCCUAAAUGGAUUCAUGCCAAAUGAAGAAGCUUUCCACAGCAUCUGCGACCUUGAAAUUUAGCCUGAGAUUCUGCUUCAGAAAAAAAUGGCUGAGCUUCCUGAUUGAGCAAGCCUUAGACUAGUGCCUUCCACUGAGUUAUUUUUUUUAUUUUUGAGGACCUUUCUGGAAGGUAUGUAAGAAGAAUAAGGUAUAGAUCCUGUCUUCAAAGAGAUCACAGCCCAGGGGGAAUAUGAGCCCCAAGUGCAUGAGUGUGCUGCAUAAUUUUCUCAGCUUUCUCAGACUGAUCAUUUAUAAAAUUGGAACGAAAAUAUUUCUCAUAUCUUCCUCCCUGGCUACUUUGAGAAUCAAGAGAGAGGGAGGCGGGAAGGAGGGAGGGAAGGAGGGAAGGGGAGAGAGAGAAAGAGACUAUGAGAAUGAGAAUGGUUGGGAGGAAUUUUGAAGACUUGUAAAUUAUUAAAAGGCUCUCUCUAUA